rnacentral:rRNA from 1 species
CCUACGGGAGGCAGCAGUGGGGAAUAUUGGGCAAUGGGCGCAAGCCUGACCCAGCAACGCCGCGUGAAGGAAGAAGGCCCUCGGGUUGUACACUUCCUUUAUUCGGGACGAAAAAAAUGACGGUACCGAAUGAAUAAGCCACGGCUAACUACGUGCAAGCAGCCGCGGUACUACGUAGGUGGCAAGCGUUAUCCGGAUUUACUGGGUGUAAAGGGCGUGUAGGCGGGGGUGCAAGUCAGACGUGAAAUUCCAGGGCUCAACCCUGGCACUGCGUUUGAAACUGGUCUUCUUGAGUGAUGGAGAGGCAGGCGGAAUUCCGGGGGUAGCGGUGAAAUGCGUAGAUAUACGGAAGAACACCAGUGGCGAAGGCAGCCUGCUGGACAUUAACUGACGCUGAGGCGCGAAAGCGUGGGGAGCAAACAGGAUUAGAUACCCCUGUAGUC